UUCUCUCGCCCUCCCACCUCCGCCUGGAUCCCGGGACCAGCCCAGCCGCUGCCGCCUCAGCUGUCCCUUCAAAGUGGCCCUGGGCCCCGUCCGAGGAAGCAGAGGCCACCGCAAGCUUCCCGCCCUUCCUUCCUUCCUGCCUCCGCCACCGGCCUCCCCUAGCGGCUCAAUUUCGCAGUCUCGUCGGCUCCCAUCCCGCCGGCGCCCGCCCCGCCAUCUUCCUUCGCUCCCUCCCUUUUGCCCGAGAACACCCCCCCCCCCCUCUGUCCGCCUCCACUCCGCCCUUCUGCUGCUGAGGCUGCGGCUGCAGCUUCGGGAGGCCCGCUUGGAAGCCGUCUGGGUUUCCCGGACAAGCCGGCGGGCUGGGGAGGCUCCCUCGGAAAGAAAAAGUUCGUAUGGAGAAUAGACCUUUACAGCAUCGGACUUUCCUUUCACCACCAGAUGCAUCCACAACUGAAUGUCCUUUCAGCUUUGACCAAGUCGUUUCACUCUUUCUGGCGCUACUAGUAAUACUGUAGCCCUCUGCUCUUCCCCAGAAGCAUAUUGGACACCUCCCAACCUGAGGGGCUCAUCUUCCAGCGUCAUAUCUUUUUUCCAUUUGGUACCGUCCAUGGGGUUUUCAUGGCAAAGAUACUGUAGUGGGUUGCCAUUUCCUUCUCCGGUGCAUCAUGUUUUGUCAGAGCACUCUGCUAUGACAUGUCCGGCAUAGCUCAUAGCUUCAUUGAGCUACGCAAGCCCCUUCGCCACAACAAGGCAGUAAUCCAAGAAGGGGGAACAAAAUAUUGGCACCCUCUUAAUCGAAGGUCUACCCUGUAUAAAUCACAUGGAAAGAGUGCUGCUAACGAGUCUGACUGGUUUAAGGUGUGGUGUACUUCAAAUAUACUGAAGGAGCACAGAUCAAUAAUUCUGGACAAAGAAUGCCGUUUAAGCCAUGCAGAAGAAUGUAGAUGUUCAUUGAAGAAAUUAGAAGUCAUUUCAUUCUGCUUCUCUAAUGCCUUUGUGAUCUGUAACUCCAUUAAAUAUUCCUUCCAUAUCAAUGUCAUUAAUGAAAAUGUUGAAAGGGUUGAAUCUUACAAAAUCACAUUUAAUACAUCACCACUUUGAUGAGAUCAAUGUUGACAAACAUUGUGAUUUGAAGCCAACUCUGUUGCCAUGUCAUCCGGUACAUGCUUAACUAGUUUGCUAAUCAUAAUGUCACAAGUUACUGUAUUUUUAAAAUGCUUUUUGCAGAUGAAAUAUUCUACAUAUAUAUCAUUCCCCAAUCUAAAUUUCUUAAUUUUGUUAAAUAAAUUUAUUUUCAUCUGUUUAUUUUACCAAAUCCAUUGACUUUGAUAAUUAUGGCAUUGUUUUCAAGGUGUGAAUAGUUUAGUGUGUUUAGAAUACCAUGAUUUGAACAAUUUGUCCAGUGUUUUCCAAAAAGUCUUAUCUGUGUGUGUAAGAUCAUUGUUGCCCAUAUUGUACCUUGUAGGUCCAUAAAUGAUGACCAGGCUUCAUUUCAAAGAAGUUCUUCAUGCAUUUAUCUUAUAGAGGAAAAGUGUCAAAUGAUGAGGAAAUAUUAAUUCAUAUAAUCUGCAGCACGUAGAUCAUAUACAUUUUUGUAUUAAUAUAUGUCAAAUAACAAUUUUCUUAAUAUAAACAGGAUUUUAUCGUGUGUGUGUGUGUGUGUGUGUAAAAAACAUCUAAAAUUAUUUCCAAUUCUAUUAAAGAUCUUCAAUUCUGUUAAAAAUUGUGUUUUGAGACCAAAGUCAAAGUUCAGGUCUUGAAUUUCAAAGAAGAAAUGGCUUGAUAUCUGGAUAUCUAAAGGAGUGCCUUUUCCCAUAUCAAUCAUCUCACUGAUAAAAGGAACAGUUUAAAUAAAUGAAACAUGGAGGUAGAGUAGAUCAUGUUAGCAGGUGGUCCUUUAACACUUGAUGUAAUUUGUCUGAUCCUUUUCUUUUUUAUUAGGAAUCUCUUAAUGUGUUGAGAUUGUAAAUGGGAUUUUACAUUUGGGAAAUUUGUAAAUUUAACACUAGUUUUCAUAUUAUAUUACAAGUUCACUUACACAGGACUCGUGUAUAGUCCAUUUUUCUUUUUGUUAACUACUUAAUCAUUUCUCUUGAAAACAGACCAUGAGAUGAGAAAGAUACGAUGGUACUGUCAGGGUUCCAACCUGACAGAUUAAUUAAUUAAAUCAUGAGCUAUUCCUCAGUUAUUCAUGUGAAUAAGCUCCAUACAAUACAAUAUUGUACUACUUUUUGAUUAAUAACUGUAUUUUACAUAUAGUGUAUACAAAGGACUAAAUGUAGGCUGUUCAAAGAGAAGUAAUAAUGUAACUGAAAAAUCAGACAGAUAACUGUCUUUCAAAGCUUUCCUGUGCUUAUAUGUGAAAUGUAAAUCAACAUGGAAACAUUGUAAUUAAUAUAUUAAAGAUGUAUACAUACUUGU